rnacentral:lncRNA from 1 species
AUUUUGUUUUUAUGUCAGAAAAACAAAAAUGCACUUUUUAAAAUAAAAAGCUGAUAAAAUUGAGUCAUCUUACUUAGUAAUUUAAACCUAUUUAAAUGAAUGUGAUUAGCAUCUCUUUGGUCAUAACUACUCUCAAAGUUCUGGGGAGAGAGGUUUGAUUUUCAUGUACCCUACAUGGCCUUUGUCCAGCAUGAUUAAAGUGUUUUGGCGUCUGCCUUGAGAGAGGCCCCUGUUAUAUCUGUAGUUGCAGUGAGACUAAGAAUUCCUCUACUGUUAUCCCAGCUGUUUGCAGGGCUUAGAUAGCUGCCUUCAGUCCCUCAAAUAUGGCCAAAAUACUACUGUCUCUUUGGUAGGCCACCUCAACUAAAAUCAUCCUUGAGAAAGAAAAGUAAAUUAAAAAGUUACCUCCUGCUUUAGAGUUGUUUCCUUUCUCUCAGUGAAUUUCUUUUUCUCAGUGAGUUACUGAAAAAUGGAGUAGCUUCUGUAUUCAUGUGUAAAUGCAGAAUGCACAUAGAAGUUACUCCAUUUUUCAGUCUGUCUUUUGUUUUAAUAAGUCCCAAAAGAAAUGAUAAAAAAAAAAAAUCCUAGAUUCUUAUUGUGAGGCCAAUUGUCUUGUGG